AAACUCUCUAAAUUUCUGAUUUCACCUUGAGAGGUGUGGUAUAGGAGGGUCAGCAGAAGGCGAAGAAUUCAGAGACGGUGAUGUUGCCAUCAGAAGAUGACUACUCACUCCCCUGUAACACACAAAAAUUCACAGAAUUAACCUCUACUAAUAUCACCAAAUUUCACAAACUUCCACCAUUUUUUAAGUAAGCGUGUACUGUGCACAAACUUCCACCAGCCUGUUGUCUGUUAGGAAGUUGCAAGUAAUGACGAAGUAUCCAGCUAGAGGCUUCGGAUCUGAGAGCUUCUAAGCCUUUUUAACAACAUAAAUGACAGAUCGAUCAGCAUCUUAACUAUUCACAUUAACAACAUAGAUAUGAAUGUGUGCUCCUUUUACUAUCUCUCUUACUCCCACAAAAUUCCUCAAAAUGUACAAAACUAUGCACUCCGAGACACAUGCUCAUACAUUUGGAGUCAAUUUCCUGUGAGUGGAAUAGUGAACAAUGCAUCCUAAAACAUAGGUAUAUAUAUUUAUGGAGUAGUCAAGUGGUUUUGCUUAAAUUUAAGAGAAAAUGAAAAAAAGAAGAAAGAGAGAGAUGGAGAUUAUGAAGAAGAAAGCUCGAAAAGAAAUGCCCUAAAAAUGAAUGUAAAGAAAAUGAGCAAGCUGAGUAGUAAAAAAAAGCAUUAUAUUUGUAUGUGUGUUGUGCAACUGAGUAUUCAUAAAUAUUUUAGUAAUGAUAGGCCCAUCAAACCUCAAAUAUUGAGCCUUCAUGCCAGAAUAAAAGUAGCAAUUGAUGUAGCCUGUGCACUCAAUUAUCUCCAUCAUCGC
rnacentral:lncRNA from 1 species